UUUUUUCUCCGGGCAUGAGAACUUGCAGAUUUUAGAGAAGAUGAAGCAAUUGGUGUUAUUCAUCGAGCGAAAUUUGAAAGAUAAGGAUGUUAUUCGACUACCCUUUUUCUCCCAACCUGAUAGUCCACUUAUAGGAAAUGGUUCCUUUAAGUCUUCAACAUUAGUUCUAGGUAUGAAAGAAGGAUUUUAUCUAGGUCCACCACCAUUGGACAAAAUCCUCAAG